AUUUAAAUAGUUUAAUAAAAAUAUUGAUUUGUGGUGUCAAUGAUAUGAAAUGUUUCAUUUUAGAUC
rnacentral:tRNA from 2 species